AAUCCUGGCUCAGGACGAACGCUGGCGGCGCGCCUAACACAUGCAAGUCGAACGGAGCUUAGAGAGCUUGCUUUUUAAGCUUAGUGGCGAACGGGUGAGUAACGCGUGAGUAACCUGCCCUAGAGUGGGGGACAACAGUUGGAAACGACUGCUAAUACCGCAUAAGCCCACGGUACCGCAUGGUACUGAGGGAAAAGGAUUUAUUCGCUUUAGGAUGGACUCGCGUCCAAUUAGCUAGUUGGUGAGGUAACGGCCCACCAAGG
rnacentral:rRNA from 1 species